rnacentral:rRNA from 1 species
GUGCCAGCAGCCGCGGUAAUACGUAGGAUCCAAGCGUUGUCCGGAUUUACUGGGUGUAAAGGGUGCGCAGGCGGACUUGUUAGUCAGAGGUGAAAUCUCACUGCUCAACAGUGAAACUGCCUUUGAUACUGCAGGUCUUGAAUCCAGAAGAGAGUUGUGGAAUUCCGAGUGUAGCAGUGAAAUGUGUAGAUAUUCGGAAGAACACCAGCGGCGAAGGCAGCAACUUGGUCUGGUAUUGACGCUCAGGCACGAAAGCAUGGGGAUCAAACAGGAUUAGAUACCCUGGUAGUCC